GUCACAACGAGAUACUGUACACGUAUCUUUGUCAAAAAGAGUAAUUUACAUACAAUUAAGUCAUACCUACAAUAAAUGUGCUCAGGACCACAAUGUGGGGCCGAGACUGGGAGGUUGUGAGGGCUUUACAGAUGCCGUGUGUGCUCUGCGGCGGUGUGUGUUGUGUUGAGGACAUCUGCCAAGGUGACGAUAAUCACAGCCUACCUGGAAGAAGAGCAUCUACACAAGGUGACGGAUUUGUUUGUUCCAUUAAUCGAUUAAUCGAGGCACGACGCGUAUUAGACUGAGGGCCAGUAUUGGAGGAAAUACAGUAUGGUCUCCCGGUAACCCCCCGUGACUUCAUCGAAGAGCUUCCUGAAAGUCCACAAAGUGGCAAAUUACGUGCCAUAUGUGGAGCACAUGUCAGCGGAAAACAUCUGCAGGAUAAUGAGUCAAGGCUGAACGGUCAUAAUAGCUAAGAUGAUCUGGACUUUUUAAAAAGAAAAAAAAAAGAAUUUGAAGGGUGAUAUUGCAGUGAUAGGCGGUGACAACAGCCAUAGAAAGACGGGAGGGAGCAAAGAGCAACAUUCCCCGAAAUAAAACAACAGAUGGCAGCUCUCACUUCCAAGAACAGCAAAGUCGUAUUUAUAGACGAGGUCUUUGAAGGAGGCUGCGGACAGCCUAAACUUUAAUAUGCGUCUUACAGAACAGUUAGUACAGGGAUAAACACGGCCAUUUUCUUUGAUUUAGCAACAGCGUUCAUGUAACUUAACUUUAUGGUUUGAAAAGACAUCAGUAAGUGACAAGAAAUUCACUAGUUGUGCCUGUCUUUGCCAAAGUGUGACAGAUCAGAUAAAUAAAAAACACGCUGACGUAACCUAAUUCACAAGAUUCAUUGCAACAAUAGCUACCCCCUCUGACUACAGGAUGCAUUCAGGUACAGGAUUUUGAGUUGGUCACUUGAGAUUUGGUAGCAAUCAAUCUUUUAACUGAAAAAUGGCACAAUUUUGCAACGUCAACAAAGAUGUGGUUUGCUUUGUAGCCGGGGCCAUUUAUUUACUCAACUGCAGGGAAGUGUGAUUUGAAGAAAGGUAACUCAAACUUAACUCAAACGGGGGGCCACUGGAGGUAGAGUCUGGCUGAGGCAGGGACACAUCAAG